CUUGUCCUACGGGACGCAGCAGUAGGGAAUCUUCCACAAUGGACGAAAGUCUGAUGGAGCAACGCCGCGUGAGUGAAGAAGGGUUUCGGCUCGUAAAGCUCUGUUGGUAGUGAAGAAAGAUAGAGGUAGUAACUGGCCUUUAUUUGACGGUAAUUACUUAGAAAGUCACGGCUAACUACGUGCCAGCAGCCGCGGUAAUACGUAGGUGGCAAGCGUUGUCCGGAUUUAUUGGGCGUAAAGCGAGUGCAGGCGGUCUUUUAAGUCUGAUGUGAAAGCCUUCGGCUUAACCGGAGUAGGUCAUUGGG
rnacentral:rRNA from 1 species